rnacentral:rRNA from 1 species
GACGAACGCUGGCGGCGUGCUUAACACAUGCAAGUCGAACGAUGAAGCCUAGCUUGCUAGGUGGAUUAGUGGCGAACGGGUGAGUAAUACGUGAGUGACCUACCUUUGACUCUGGGAUAAGCCUGGUAAACUGGGUCUAAUACCGGAUACGACCAAUCUCCGCAUGGGGUGUUGGUGGAAAGCGUUAUGGAGUGGUUUUAGAUGGGCUCACGGCCUAUCAGCUUGUUGGUGAGGUAAUGGCUUACCAAGGCGACGACGGGUAGCCGGCCUGAGAGGGUGACCGGCCACACUGGGACUGAGACACGGCCCAGACUCCUACGGGAGGCAGCAGUGGGGAAUAUUGCACAAUGGGCGCAAGCCUGAUGCAGCGACGCCGCGUGAGGGAUGACGGCCUUCGGGUUGUAAACCUCUGUUAGCAUCGAAGAAGCGAAAGUGACGGUAGGUGCAGAGAAAGCGCCGGCUAACUACGUG